rnacentral:lncRNA from 1 species
UUCCAAAAUGAAACGAGCACCCUAGUAAUCAUAUUCAGUUCCCCAAUUAGUAGUUAAUCUCGAAGUUCACAGUUGAAUCUAACUCAUAUACGAUUUAGGUAAAUGUACAGAAGGUGUUAAAAAAUAUAAUAAAAAGAAAAAGUUGCAGAAAAGAGAAAAAAAUCUUGAAGAAAAAUGAAGAUGAAUGAUCCCCAGAAAUGAUCUAUAAAAAAUGUAUAUAUUUUGAUUAUUACAAUCCAAGAACCGAGAAUACUUAGCAGUAAAGAAAACGGUCUUAGAUAUACUACAAACAAAGAAAUAUUAAUAUAAACAAGGUCGUAACUAAGCAGCAAUGUAACCAACCAUUUUGACUAUAAAAGUCAUAUAUACCUUCCUCAGCUGUACAAAACCCAGAAUGAGACUACAAGUGUAAUAAAAAUCGAUAAAAUCGUAAAAUACUUAACAAAAGCAGGUAAGAAAGAUAUCUUAAAGAUAUCAAAUACUCCAUCGUCCAAGAAAGUAUAGGAGAUUAUAGCCAUAAAAAAAUUGCAUUGGAAUUUCUGCAGCAACUAGAUUUGGGCAACAGGAAAGAGCGAACAGUAUUUACAAAAUUCGGAUGGUAUAAGUAGUAACUAGUUAUGGCAAAAAAAUAGUAACAAUUCCAUUUGUUUGGUCUCAAAUCAGUCGUAGGACGGUGGCUUUUCAAUCACUUGACAAUUGGCCGAUGCAUCGUUUUCCUCAAAAUUAAAAACUGCUCCUCUGCUAAUGUCAAAUACUCUAAAAAAACAAUAUGCAAUGGAAAUAAUAAUUGGAAUGCCGGAUAACAACAGAGGGAGUUGCCAUAUUGGAAUUGCAUUCGGGUGCCAGUCCUGUUUCCUUUCGUUUUGGUCGGGGUAUGUAUGCACUGGUGUCAAACAACGCCGGGUCACAUUCCAAUCUCAAAAGUCCUGUUGAAAAAUGGGUUUUCCCAGGGAAAUGAAUGAAAUUUAUUAUGUUACACGGCGAAUGUGCUUCUGUUUGAAAGCAUGAGACCAAUGAAUAAGGCUGAACAAACAGGGAAAAUAAAAAGGGAAAAAACAGACUGAUGUGCAACCAAUGAUUGAGUAUUUUUAUGUUGUUUUUUCCCCAAUUUCCAAUGAGAAUUUGUCAAGUGUUGUAUGGAAAUGAAAUUUGUCACUAACUCCGGCCAUGUAGCAUGGUUGUGAGACCAAUACAUUUGAAAUAUACGAUAAUCAUUUCAUGUUCUUCAGAAGCGAAUUUUAAACAAAUAGCAAAAUUUAGUUGAGAGAAUAGUUUUCCAUUUGAAGUUCAAUAACCAUACAAUUGUUGGCAUUAUAGGAAACAGCCAUGAUAAGAAGUUCAAAUCCUUGUCCGAGGCGGAAAUUUCAGAAUUGGUUAAACAUGGGGUGUUCUAUCUGUCUUAUCAGAUUGCUCAAUUGACCGGCAUGCGACACUGGCAGCUGGGCAGGUCCUUUAGUUAUGUCUUUGGCAAAUGCAACUGGAAGGGCUUCCACUGCUUAAAUACUGGUAAUAAAAGCUUCAUUUCCAUUCUGUACAAUUGAGUUUGUACCCUUGGAGACUCUAUCAUUUUUCACCAUCAACGACAGGAGCUGGUCAAGAUGGUGACAUAUGAGACUCACAUGACAAAUUCUUAAAAGAUGGGCAUCAGGGCAUGUUUUUAAGCCUUGAUCCUUGUAUGAGAUUGUUUCUUUCAUUUGAACAGCCUUAUCUAGUGUCAAAAGAUUUUUUGUGCUACCCACCACUUCGAGGAAGAGAAAGCUCCUAUGUACCAUACUAUUUUUGUACCAGUGGAAGAGAGGUCUAUACGUUGCUAGAGUCCAGAGUGAAGUCGGUAACUCGGGCUUGAUAGGAUAGGAGUGUGCAUGUCGGCCCCUGCGGAGCCAUACUUUGAAGAUUGGCAAUCUGAAUUUCAAUGGAUGUAUAGAUUAUACUAACCAGUCAGACUUUGCGGAACUGGCUAAAUAGCAUAAAUGGCUUCAGUUGGGAAAUUGGACAAAGGUUAAAGGUACUUGCAAUUCAAUCACCAAUAAUCACCACAGGAGCACUUCCCGUCCUCAAACCGAUGAAAUCGAUUGUUAUCUCUGACUAUAAUUAUCCGUCCAGUGCACUUGGACAUAAACUUUAUUGCAGUGUGGCAAUCACCACAGAUGCGCAAGUUCUUCAUAACUCUAAUUGGACGUUCCGGUGGAAAGGUAAUAAGUGCAAAUGCAAUGGCUAAUCUCUCACUAUGAUAUCGAAUACUCUGGAUCUUCUCAUCAGCGCCAACUUCUUGCAGCACGUAACUCGUGUCUGCAACAUAACCAACUCGCAUCAUAUCCUCCCCCAGUUCCUCCAGUUUCCUAUAAAUCUCUUCAGAUUUCGCAUUGGCCCUAUCCCCUGCAACAAAUGUGUAAAUCCUAUUACCUUCCUCUACCCAGCUCAAACCAGUUUCCUUUUUCAUUCCACAGUCCCUCAGCAUUUUCCUUGCCGUUGCAGCCUCUUUAUAUCUACCAGCAGCUGAAUAAGCAUUGGAUAAUAGCACGUGUAGGCCAGGGCUAAUAGGGCCUAACUCAAAGACUCUAUCAGCUACGUAACCUGCCAACUCAGUGUUUCCAUGAAUUCGGCACCCAGUAAGUAAAGCUCCCCACACAGAUUCUGUUGGUUGCAUUGGCAUUUCUUUAGUAAUUUUAACAGCUUCGUGCAAUUUUCCAGCUCGGCCAAGCAAGUCAACCAUUGAAGCAUAAUGCUGAUCCCCUGGCUCUAUACCUUGAUCCUUCAUCAACUUGAAGUAAUACUUCCCCUCCUCAACCAGCCCUGCGUGGCUACAAGCAUAGAGCAGACACAAAAAUGUAAUGAAAUUCGGCUUCGUUCCUACUCUUUCCAUUUUCCCAAACAACGCAAACACGUUCUUUGUAUGUGAAUGUUGAGCACAUGCGAUCAACAUUGCAUUCCACAUUCCUAAAUUCUUAUUCGAAACCUCAUCAAAAACAAGAUAUGCUCCCUCAAUGACACCACACUUUGAGUACAUGGAAAUUAAAGAACUUCCCACAAAACCUGACAAGUCAUAGCUCAUUUUCAAGCACAAACCAUGCAUCUGCUUCCCUAGUUCAAGCAAGGUCGAAUUCCCACAAACUCGAAUCACACUCGAAAAAGUAAAAUCGUUCACACCCAAAUCCUCAAUCAAAGCGUCCUUAAAAAGCCUCAAAGCCUCCUCGUCUUCACCCAUUUGCGCAUACCCAUAUAUCAUCCCACUCCAAGACACCACAUUUUUCUCCGGAAUUUCAUCAAACAUCUUCCUAGAAUCCACUAAACUACCACAUUUUGCAUACAUAUCCACUACAGAACUCCCAACAAACACAUUAAAGUCAUACCCAACUUUCACCGUAAGACAAUGAACCGACUGCCCUGCACGAUAAUCAUUCAUCAUCGCGCACGAUUUAGUCACACUGGGGAAAAUGUGGUCAUCAGGAUACAAUCCACCAAUACGAAGCAUUAAGCAAAGAUAUUGAAAAGCUCGCAAAGGGAGCUCAUUUUGCGAAAAACAAGAGAUUAAAGAACUCCAAGUCGUAGCAGACUUGAAGGGAGUCUCAUCAAACAAUUUUUCCGAGUGGUGCGGGAACUGUAAUUUCGCGUAAAAGUUGAUCAAAUGGUGGGAUAUCAGUGGGAUGAUCUGAAGUCCAGAUUUAAUGACAUGGGCAUGAAUAGAUUGACCUUUUAAAAGGGAUUUUGCCCUAGUGAAGUCAAGCAAAUGGUUGCAUAUGGUUCGGUAGUUGUGCUCGAAGCUUUGUUGGUUGAGUGAGUUUUGGAGGAAGUGGGUGAAGAUGGGAUGUCUUGGGGGUGGAGGUGGUUGCAGGGGUUCUUUGAGGAAAGGGUGAAGCAUUUAGUGAAUAUCUUAAAGAGACGUGUGUUCUGGAUGCAUGACGGCGGCGGGCGGUUUCGGAGUAGGAGUAUCAGUUCUCUGCCCCAGGAUGCGGUGGUGGCCGAAAAUUGGGUUUUCAAUUAGAACGUAGACAAGAAUUGGCGGACAAAAAUUUGGGUUGAGAAUCGGUUAUUCUUAUUGUGAACCGGCCGGUUCAUCCCCCAUCCCACCUCACAAUUUUAUAUAUAUAUAUUUUUUUAAAUAUAAAUGAAGUCGAUUCCAAAUUUUUUGACCGAAUCAGCCAUUUUAAUAGAUUUUGACAAUCUUGGACAGACAUUUCCCAAAGUUUGUUGCACAAGAGCAAACAAAGUUUUCGAGGUUUCUAAAUUAUUACAAAUUUACAUACGUCAAUGUUUUUCUUAACAUUUCUCUCGAAUUUUUAUUUGCAUCAUUUUCAACAAUUUUCAUUCAAAGUAGACACAGCUUGUCUUCAAGUAUAAGUGCUAGUGGGGAAUGAUUUUUCAAAAAAUAAUUCUUUACAGGAAAAAUGAUUCUUAACCUAUCAUCCAGUGUACAAAUUGUUGCAGAAGUUUCUUAUAUGCUCCCAAGUUUUAUGAACCGCAUGUUUGGCGCUCGAGUUUCCAUGCCUCAAGGCAGAUUUCUCUUUACUUUUAAAUCGAAGAGUCCUAAUAAUUGGUUUACAUGUAUGCUUAUAGGUAGAUAGUUAGACAAUACUUGCACAUAAUUAUAUCAUUAGUGCACUCUUCAAUGAUAUAAAUAAUAUAUCUAGCUGUUGACGAUCUUGUCGCAUCGUAUUCCAAGGUGCACAAUCAUGGUGUGUUUGGGAAGUAGUGCUAGAUGGGAUUGAACGAUACAAUUGACGAAAAUACUGACCAUUUCAACUUAUCAAACAUGCUACAAAAGCAUGAAUAGAAUAACAUAAUGCAAAGAUAUACAAAAUCCCAAAUCCCUCACCAUUCUUGAAAAACCGACCAAGUUGCAGGUCUUUUACUGUUGGAGGCAAGAGACUAACUUGUUCACUUAAUCUCCACAUGAGCAUCAAGGCAAUUAAAUACCUAUAAUACCGUACGGAAAAUGAGAAGAAAGUCUUAACUCUUUAAGUGGACCAAACAAUAACUCCAUAAAUGUAAUUUCUAUAGAUAAUUCAAGUUGAAAAAUGAAAAAUGCUUUAUGAAGUCAUAAAACUUACUGGGAAAUGACAUGGGCAAUGGCUGCACCGCUAACACCCAUACCGAACAGGAAGAUGAAUAUAGGGUCCAAUACUAUAUUCGCCGCAUCUCCAACCACUACAUUGCAAUGUAAAAGUUCAACAAAUUAUCCUCUAUUUGAAUGUCUAUUCAGAUUGGGUUGCACUAGCAGUUUUCGUAGUUCUAUAUGGACGACUUUCAAGCUUGCAGUCGAUCAUUUUCUAGAUGAAUGACAAAUUUUUAAUAUGUGUACUGAUGUGAUAUGUCAAGUUGAUAACAUGCUGAUCAUAUGUACGUUUCUAAUGAGAAAUUAACUUGAAUAAAAGCGAAAUAUUUGCUUACUAGUUGCAUACAGAGGAGUUUUUGUAUCCUUAAAACCCCGAAAGACCCCUUGCAAUGACAAAGAAAGAAGAACGGCUGGAGCACCGACUGACCUCAAUGUUAAAUACCUUAGUGCUGGUUUCAGCAUAGGCGAAUUCUACAAAAGUAGAAGUAUCCUUAAGCUGUUCAUCUAAUGAUAUAGUGAUUGCUUACAAAAAUGGAAAAUUUAUGCUAGAAAAGAAACAUAUAAGCAAUUUCCUGGAGUUCACGGAUUCCACUAUUGGACUUCAAUAUUAGGAGCUAAUAAUAUUUUAGAAACAUAUGUAUUAAACAACAAACCAGAAAAGGUAUUGACAACGUAAGAGUAGUGAAACAGAUUUUUUUUUUCCUCUUUCUUUGGGGCUGCACAAAAGCUAUUCGACAUUUGAAGGAGAGAAGUAUCCAAAAGCCCAAAUAAGACUUACUGAUUUAAUCCCCAUGUAUUCAAGAAUUGGUUUUGCAGCAAAAAUAACGAAUAUAGAUUGUAUGAGGCCAAGUAUGGCACCAAUCGCCAUUGCUGAUGAAGCCGAUGAUAUAUGCCUUUUCUUAUUCUCGCCAUCACUAGUUUCUACACAGUUAAUGGUAAAUGGUGAUUUUCUUGUCAACUCCGAUUCAAAAUUCAGCAGAAUAUUAUCGUGAUUUAAAGUAAAAAAUAACUUACAGAGAAAAAUGUCUUCUGACCUAUAUAGUAAACAUUUAUUAACCACUUGCUUAUGAAAUUCAAGAGGAUAGAACUAGUGCAUACCAGUUUUCGGUAUCAACUCACUAUCUGCAGAAAACCCUUUUUCCAAUAAUUUUAUCUCCUCUGUUUCACCUUUCAAACUUCGCAUAGCAUCUUCUUCAGCAACAAAAGAAGUCGUGACACUAACAAGUGGGAAAAUUGCAAUUUUUGAUACUUGAUUAAUGACGGCAAUUGCAACUCCUACUGCAGCUAGCUCCACAGGACCUUUAGGAUAAAUGAGUAUGAAAAAAUAGACAGGAAUAGAGAAUAUACAGUUGUUUUCAUUUUAGUUAAGUAAAUAUCGAAUCUCAGAUAGAUUCUAUUUCCGACAGAUUACGUGUUAUUGAUGAAAUCUCAUAAAAUCAGUGACCAGGUAUUUAUAAGCGUAAGCAUAAUAUAACCAAACUAAUCAGAGGAGCAGUCAAUCCUUCCUAUCAUAGCAUAAUGUCUUUCUUUGCAAUACAAGUACACGAAGGUUUCAAAUAAAAAUUUCAUCAGGAAAGAUGAUAAAAAUCUAGAAUAGAAUUUCUCCACAUGAAUUAGAUCUCUUGAGACAAUGAAGAAGGGUCAAAUCAAUACGUUCUAAGAAGAAAUAUUUGAAUUCUAAAUGUUCAUUAGCCAUGAAACACUAGAUAUGAAAACAAGAAUCAGGAGACACAUACCUAUAUGGCCAAUAAAAGCAGUGUCAAUUAGAGAAGCAAUAGGGUCUGCAGUUAGAGCCAGUGCUGCAGGCAAGGCAAUCUGUGCCAUUUCUAGACCUAACUCAUCUUUCUUGAAAACUUCCCUACAAAGCAUUAGAAACAUGCAUCCACUGAAUUUAGAUAUUCUUUUUUUGGUUUUCCAUUGCUCUUGGACCAAUUCAGAAACAUAAACACAAGAAAUGACCUGUGAAUUACAAUGAGAAACAGAACAAAAACACGAGGAAUGUCAAAUCAUAAAUCGCAACAAUGAGAGUCAUUGGCUAUAUAAAGGUUCUGUAGCCCACAACUUGGAAAGAAAAACACAAGGAUUGUCCAACAGAACCGGAACAAUGAUCGAGAUUAAGUUUACAUACUCAUAAUGUGUUGCUUGUUAAUAUAAAUUAUUCUAUAAACAAAAGCAAAGUUUCUCUGAAAGGAAGUAAAAGCUUUCCAAGAAACAAUACCUUGGAUUCCUGAAUAAACCCCAUAAAGGAUUAUCACCCAUAUUGUUCCAAAAUGAAACGAGCACCCUAGUAAUCAUAUUCAGUUCCCCAAUUAGUAGUUAAUCUCGAAGUUCACAGUUGAAUCUAACUCAUAUACGAUUUAGGUAAAUGUACAGAAGGUGUUAAAAAAUAUAAUAAAAAGAAAAAGUUGCAGAAAAGAGAAAAAAAUCUUGAAGAAAAAUGAAGAUGAAUGAUCCCCAGAAAUG